AGUAACGCGUGAGGAACCUGCCUUUCAGAGGGGGACAACAGUUGGAAACGACUGCUAAUACCGCAUAACACAUAGGUGUCGCAUGGCAUUUAUGUCAAAGAUUUAUCGCUGAAAGAUGGCCUCGCGUCUGAUUAGCUAGUUGGUAGGGUAACGGCCUACCAAGGCGACGAUCAGUAGCCGGCCUGAGAGGGUGGACGGCCACAUUGGGACUGAGACACGGCCCAGACUCCUACGGGAGGCAGCAG
rnacentral:rRNA from 1 species